rnacentral:rRNA from 1 species
GACGAACGCUGGCGGCGUGCUUAACACAUGCAAGUCGAACGGAAAGGCCCUGCUUUUGUGGGGUGCUCGAGUGGCGAACGGGUGAGUAACACGUGAGUAACCUGCCCUUGACUUUGGGAUAACUUCAGGAAACUGGGGCUAAUACCGGAUAGGAGCUCCUGCUGCAUGGUGGGGGUUGGAAAGUUUCGGCGGUUGGGGAUGGACUCGCGGCUUAUCAGCUUGUUGGUGGGGUAGUGGCUUACCAAGGCUUUGACGGGUAGCCGGCCUGAGAGGGUGACCGGGCAACAUGGGAACGGAGUUAGGGCCCGGACUCUUACGGAAGGCAGCGGGGGGGAUAAUGGCACAGGGGAGGGAGGCCAAAUGCGGAAAGCCGGGUGGCGGGAGGAGGGCCUUCGGUUGGAAAACCACUUUCGCUGUGAAGGAGGGGUAGUGACGGGAAAUGGUUAAGAAGGCACGGCUAACUUAGUG